rnacentral:rRNA from 1 species
AGUGAACGCUGGCGGUAGGCCUAACACAUGCAAGUCGAACGGCAGCACAGUAAGAGCUUGCUCUUACGGGUGGCGAGUGGCGGACGGGUGAGGAAUACAUCGGAAUCUACUUUUUCGUGGGGGAUAACGUAGGGAAACUUACGCUAAUACCGCAUACGACCUACGGGUGAAAGCAGGGGAUCUUCGGGCCUUGCGCGAUUGAAUGAGCCGAUGUCGGAUUAGCUAGUUGGCGGGGUAAAGGCCCACCAAGGCGACGAUCCGUAGCUGGUCUGAGAGGAUGAUCAGCCACACUAGAACUGAGACACGGUCCAGACUCCUACGGGAGGCAGCAGUGGGGAAUAUUGGACAAUGGGCGCAAGCCUGAUCCAGCCAUACCGCGUGGGUGAAGAAGGCCGUCGGGUUGUAAAGCCCUUUUGUUGGGAAAGAAAAGCAGCAGGUUAAUACCCCGCUGUUCUGACGGUACCCAAAGAAUAAGCACCGGCUAACUUCG